CGACCUACUCAUAACUUUUUUGUUAUACGACAAGAACAAUGAUGGCGUCAUUUGCAAUGAAGAUUGGUUGGAAAAGAUUAAAGACUAUACGAGUAAUGCCACCAUACAUCAUGCUGCACGAUCGAUAAAGAAAUAUGAUAUAAACAAUGAUGGUGUGAUCGAUUUUCCUGAAUUUUUGAGAAUGAUGAAGACUCCUUACAGCGUAAAAAAUAUGUUUAAGGGUAUGUUUAUUGGAAAACCAAUAACCAGAAAACAACUUAAUGAUUUAGUUCAAAAAUCAACCGGAACACUUCUUGAUGAGGACGCUUUAAACUCGAUAGAUCCUGAAAAUAAAAAUGAGAUAUCUUACACAGAUUUGGAAAGUUAUUACAGACCACUUUAGUAAGGAAUACACUCCACG